rnacentral:rRNA from 1 species
GACGAACGCUGGCGGCGUGCCUAAUACAUGCAAGUCGAGCGGACAGAAGGGAGCUUGCUCCCGGAAGUUAGCGGCGGACGGGUGAGUAACACGUGGGCAACCUACCCUGUAGAUCGGGAUAACAUCGAGAAAUCGGUGCUAAUACCGGAUAAUCAUUUGAAGUGCAUGCUUCGAAUGUAAGAGAUGGCUCCGGCUAUCACUACGGGAUGGGCCCGCGGCGCAUUAGCUGGUUGGGAAGGUAAUGGCUUACCAAGGCAACGAUGCGUAGCCGACGUGGGAGGGUGGUCGGCCAGACUGGGACUGAGACACGGCCCAGACUCCUGCGGGAGGCAGCAGUAGGGAGUCUUCGGCAAUGGACGAAAGUCUGACGGAGCCACGCCGCGUGAGGGAUGAAGGUUUUCGGAUCGUAAAGCUCUGUUGUUAGGGAAGAACAAGUGCCGUUUGAAUAAGGCGGCACCUUGACGGUACCUAACCAGAAAGCCACGGCUAACUACGUGCCAGCAGCCGCAGUAAGAC